rnacentral:lncRNA from 1 species
UCCAGCUCCCGCAAGGUCUGCAAUUGCUCCAGGUUCUCAAUGCGCUUCACCAAGUUCUGACGCAGACACAGAGUCUUCACUUUCUUGAGCACCUCAAACCCUUCAAUCUUUCCAAUUCGGAAAUGAUUCAGGUCAACAUCCUCAGCUUCUGGGUCCAGGCUAAUUGUUUCCAUGUCCACUGGUGUCUCUGCUUCUCCAUUCUGCUCAUCUCUCAGGCUCUGCUGGCUGAGGUCUGUUACUAAGCGCACCGCUUGCUUCUUCCCUUCAUCUUCCGACUCCUCCGAUUCGAUCCGCUUAUCGACCUCCAUCAUCUCCGUGCGCCCCUCUCCGCUCCCCGCCGCCAUAUUGCUUCUCCUCCCACCCCCC